rnacentral:rRNA from 1 species
GACGUAGGGCGCGAGCGUUGUCCGGAUUUAUUGGGCGUAAAGAGCUCGUAGGCGGUUUGUCGCGUCGAAUGUGAAAACCCGGGGCUCAACCCCGGGCCUGCAUUCGAUACGGGCAGACUAGAGUUCGGUAGGGGAGUCUGGAAUUCCUGGUGUAGCGGUGAAAUGCGCAGAUAUCAGGAGGAACAUCGGUGGCGAAGGCGGGACUCUGGGCCGAUACUGACGCUGAGGAGCGAAAGCGUGGGGAGCAAACAGG